UUGCAGAAAUACAAGAAGAAUCGAGAAAGAGAACAAUGGAGAGAGAGAUUCGGUCUGUCAUAGAUGGUGGAGAGAGAAAAAUCUAAGAAGACAGUUAGGCCUUUGCCACCAUCAGACCACCGUACCCUCCACCGAUAUAGUCUCUGUUUUUUUGUACCGAAGGAUGAGUGGACAACAAUGAGAAGGAAGAAGAAUAAGCGAAAGACUAUAUAAGUGGUUGGAGAUAGAGAGAGAGAGCCAAAAACCACUAGGAAACCAAAAGACUCAAGGUUAUGAUGCAAUGGGCAUUAGAAACCUGAAAGCACAAAAGGAAGCAUGGAGAAUCAAAAGGGAUUUGUUUCCACUGACAUGUAAUCAAAGUAAAAUGCACUUACACUAAUGGCAUUCUUCUAAAUAACCUAAGAUCCCACAUAUCUUGAGAGUUGCACUUGAUCUUAAAGCUGCAAAAUUAACCAUAGCCAUGAGACAAGCUAACCAGGACAAGUGAAAGUAUGGAAGGUGCAUCACAGCAAUAUGAUGGGUAACCAGGAGGGCUUUUACAUGAUUCCAAAGGGGUGGCAAGUCAGCGAAUCAUUUAUUCACAGAAAUCUCAAGAGACUUUGCACGCUUGAAAAAGGACAAGUGGACAACGAUGAGAAGGAAGAAGAAUAAGCAAAAGACUAUAUAAGUGGUUGGAGGCAGACAGAGCCAAAACCACUAGGAAACUGAAAGACUCAUGAUUAUGAUACAAUGGGCAUUAGGAACCGAAAGCACAAAAGGUUUUGCUGAAAUUGUUUGAAAAAAUUCGACAUCAAUUUAGAAGCUUUUGAUAAGUAGAAGAAAAAAAAGGCACAAUUCAGCUAAAGACUAUCUCAAGAUUUGUGUAUGUCUACAUCAGUAGACCUCAAUCUUUGCUCUGUUUUUCAAGUUAAACAAAUUCUCCACACCAAAAAAAAAGUGCGGAAAAGAAAGAACUCAUUCAUGUAGAUUAUUAUCCCAUUAAAAAAACUACUUAAGCCAUUGGUUA